rnacentral:rRNA from 1 species
UACAGAGGGGGCGAGCGUUGUUCGGAAUUACUGGGCGUAAAGGGCGCGUAGGCGGCCUUCUAAGUCGAACGUGAAAUCCCCGGGCUCAACCCGGGGACUGCGUCCGAUACUGGGAGGCUUGAAUCCGGGAGAGGGAUGUGGAAUUCCAGGUGUAGCGGUGAAAUGCGUAGAUAUCUGGAGGAACACCGGUGGCGAAGGCGGCAUCCUGGGCCGGUAUUGACGCUGAGGCGCGAAAGCCAGGGGAGCAAACGGG